GACGAACCGUGCGAACGUUGUUCGGAAUCACUGGGCUUAAAGGGCGCGUAGGCGGCUCAUCAAGUCCGGGGUGAAAGCCCCCAGCUUAACUGGGGAAGUGCCUCGGAUACUGGUGAGCUCGAGGGAGGUAGGGGCGGAUGGAACUUCCGGUGGAGCGGUGAAAUGCGUUGAUAUCGGAAGGAACGCCGGUGGCGAAAGCGAUCCGCUGGCCCUCUACUGACGCUGAGGCGCGAAAGCCAGGGGAGCAAACGG
rnacentral:rRNA from 1 species